rnacentral:rRNA from 1 species
UACGUAGGGGGGCAAGCGUUGUCCGGAUUUACUGGGCGUAAAGAGCGUGUAGGCGGCCACGCAGGUCCGUUGUGAAAACUGGAGGCUCAACCUCCAGCUGUCGACGGAAACCGUGUGGCUAGAGUCCGGAAGAGGAGAGUGGAAUUCCUGGUGUAGCGGUGAAAUGCGCAGAUAUCAGGAAGAACACCAAUGGCGAAGGCAGCUCUCUGGGGACGGUACUGACGCUGAGACGCGAAAGCGUGGGGAGCGAACAGG